rnacentral:rRNA from 1 species
AUUGAACGCUGGCGGAAUGCUUUACACAUGCAAGUCGAACGGCAGCACGGACUUCGGUCUGGUGGCGAGUGGCGAACGGGUGAGUAAUAUAUCGGAACGUGCCCAGUCGUGGGGGAUAACGUAGUGAAAAUUACGCUAAUACCGCAUACGAUCUACGGAUGAAAGCGGGGGAUCGCAAGACCUCGCGCGAUUGGAGCGGCCGAUAUCAGAUUAGGUAGUUGGUGAGGUAAAGGCUCACCAAGCCGACGAUCUGUAGCUGGUCUGAGAGGACGACCGGCCACACUGGAACUGAGACACGGUCCAGACUCCUACGGGAGGCAGCAGUGGGGAAUUUUGGACAAUGGGCGCAAGUCUGAUCCAGCCAUUCCGCGUGCAGGACGAAGGCCUUCGGGUUGUAAACUGCUUUUGUACAGAACGAAAAGGUCUCUAUUAAUACUAGGGGCUCAUGACGGUACUGUAAGAAUAAGCACCGGCUAACUACGUGCCAGCAGCCGCCGUAA